rnacentral:rRNA from 1 species
UUAGAUACCCUAUUAUUUUUAUUGUAAAAUUUGAAACUUGAGUAUUAGUAGCUAAGAUCUUGAAACUUAAAGAAUUUGGCGGUAUUAUAGUCUAUUUAGAGGAAUCUGUUAUGUAAUCGAUAGUCCACGUUGAACCUUACUUAUAUUAUUUCUUGUAUACCGCUGUUUGAGAAUAUACUUUUAGGUUAUUUUCUUAAUAUAUUAUUAAUUAAAAUUUCAGGUCAAGGUGCAGUAAUAUGUAAGUUGAAUAAUGGAUUACAAUAAAUUUUAUUUAUAUGGAUUGUUAUUGAAAUAUAAUUUGAAGGUGGAUUUAAUUGUAAUUUUUUAAAGAUUAUUAAAAUGAUUAAUAGCUCUAUAAUAUGUACACAUCGCCCGUCGCUCUCGUUAUUAAGAUGAGAUAAGUCGA